GGCUAGUUUAUAACCGACAACUUCCAACCUUCAAAUUUAAAAUAAUGAUCUGCUUCAAGCCGCUCAUCCCUUAUAAAUGCUCUAAAAUUCAUGAAGUAUCAAAUCUCUCUAAACAAUUAAGGUGUGAUUCACGAAGUGACUUGUCAAAUCAUCACCAGAAUUCAUGAAGCAUUGUGAUUGUUCACCUAAAGACUAGACAACUUCGAUUUGUCAACUUGGACAAGCAUCGAGG
rnacentral:lncRNA from 1 species